rnacentral:rRNA from 1 species
CGUGUAGGCGGCCUAGCCAGUACCUUGUGAAAUCCCUUGGCUCAACCGAGGAAUUGCUGGGUAUACUGCUGGGCUUGAGGCGGUUAGGGGUGCCUGGAACUCUAGGUGGAGCGGUGAAAUGCGUAGAUAUCUAGAGGAACGCCUGAGGCGAAAGCGGGGCACUGGGACCGAUCUGACGCUGAGACGCGAAAGCGUAGGGAGCGAACG